rnacentral:sRNA from 1 species
AUGCACGAGUUUGUACCCCAGAGGACUUCGCCUUAUAUCAGCCAGUAUGAUAUUCAUAUUCCUUUGUUAACAGUUAGAGAAACCUUAACCUUCUCUGCUAAAUGUCAAGGAGUUGGUACUGGCUAUGGUAAGUUACAACACUAUAGAUUAUAUAUAAUGAAAUAAGCUUUACAUAAACUUUUGCCUUUCUUUUUUAAUUUUUAAUUCUGGUUCUAUUGACUGCUUUAGAGAUGCUUGUGGAGCUUUUGAGAAGAGAGAAGGAACUAAAUAUAAAGCCAGAUCCCUUUAUUGAUGCGUUGAUGAAGGCAAGAAGCUAGAGUUUUAUACAACUUGUCACAAUGAGUUAUGCAUGUGUUCAUGCCAAAGGGGUUUUUAUUUUCAUAAUACAUUUUGUACUUUUUAAUAUAGCUGUCAGUUUUGAAAGAACACGAGGAAGACAUAGUCACAGACUACGUUCUUAAGGUAUAUUCCAGGACACAAUCUAUGCUUAUGAGACCCAGUAAAUAGGCCUAAGGGAGUAAUCCAAUUUUUAAAUAAAGUUGAAUUAAUUUAUGUCUUAAUCUUUGUAUUUAUGCACAGAUUUUAGGACUAGACGUGUGUGCCGAUACAAUUGUAGGGAAUGAAAUGAUAAGGGGCAUAUCAGGAGGACAAAAGAAACGUGUUACUACAGGUAGAUUGACAUAUAUACGAGGAAAACCCAGCUUAGCAAUUGUGAAAUCUUUGAUUUCAGAAUAUCUAAUCUAAAUUUUGAAUCUUUUUUUUUCUUUCUUUGAUAGAAACGUUUUUGACUAACUUGGAUUAACGCAGGGGAGAUGCUGGUUGGUCCUUCGAAUGCGUUUUUUAUGGACAAUAUAUCUAAUGGUCUUGACAGUUCAACCACGUUUCAGAUCAUUAAUUCAAUCAGGCAGUCAAUUCACAUCUUCAACAAGUCUGCUCUUAUCUGUCUUCUGCAGCCUCCACCAGAAACUUAUGAGCUCUUUGAUGACAUUAUUCUUCUUUCAGGGGGACAAAUUGUAUACCAGGGACCCCGUGAAUGUGUUCUAGAGUUUUUUGAAUCCAUGGUGUUGAAGUGGGCCGUGUGUGUGGCUUGAAUUGCCACAAGCCCAAGUCAAGUAGUAUUAGGAAACCAAAUUUAACUAGGAAUUUAAUUCCUAGUACAGCCAACCUAUAAUAUAUGUAUAUAUAUAUAUAUAUAGAUAUAUUAAGGGUGUUGAGGGGAAGAGAGAAUUAGAGAAUUCCAAUUAACCUAGUGAGCAGCCGCAUGAAAGAAAAUAGAGAAAAGAGAGGCAGACAGCUUCUAUUCUUAUUGUUUCUGUGAGAGAGUGCUAGGGUGUAAUUGGGAUUUGGGUUUCUUGAGAGUGUUAUUGUGCACUAUUGUAUCUCCCUAUUUUUUAUAGUGAAAUUUCUCCGUCGUCUCCGUGGAGGUAGGCAGUUUGCCGAACCACGUAAAUUCUUGUGUUCUUUGUGUGUGCUUGUUAUUUUAUUUCCGCUUAUUUACUGUUAUUGAUUGGAGUCCUGGGAUGCUAUCUUCACAACAAGUGGUAUCAGAGCUAAGGUUAGGAUUCAAUCCUUUGAACACAGUAAAGAUGUCAAGCACAAAGUAUGAUGUAGAGAAGUUUUGUGGCAAGGGAAAGUUUUCUCUUUGGCAAAGGCGGAUGAAAGAUCUCCUAAUUCAACAAGGAGUUCAUAAGGCCUUGUUUGGGAAGGAGAAGAAACCGGAAACGAUGAAGGAUGUAGAAUGGGUAGAGAUGGAUGAGAAAGCAGCUAGCGCUAUUCGUCUAAACCUAGGUGAUGAGGUCAUUCACAACAUCCUAGAAGCAAAGACCGCAAAGGAGGUUUGGAAAAAACUAGAAAGUCUUUAUAUGAGAAAGAACUUGACGAACAAGUUGUACGUGAAAAAGCAACUGUAUAGUUUGCAUAAGAAGGAGGGUUCAGAUCUGUUGGAGCAUCUCAACACAUUUAAUAUGUUGAACACCCAACUGUCAAGUUUUGGGGUGAAUUAUGAGGAUGAAGAUAAAUCAUUACUCUUGUUAGCGUCGCUUCCUACUUCUUUUGAUUAUCUAGUGACUACGUUGAUGUACGGGAAAGAGACUAUAGUACUCGAGGAGGUGACUAGUGCUCUCUUGUCACACAUAAAGAUGAAGCAAGAUGGUGAUGGUUCUCAGGCUGAUGGACUUAUUGUAAAGUUUGAGUCAAGCAAUAGAGGUAGAAGCAGGUCAAGAGGACGGAACUCCAACAGGAACAGAUCACAGUCUAAAUCACGUGCAAAGAAAGAUGUAGAGUGCUUUUAUUGUCACAAGAAAGGACACUACAAGAAUCAAUGUAAAGAAUUGAAAGAGCAUUUACAGGAGAAGAAGAAUGGAAAGAAGCCCCUAGAAUCAGCUAGUGUUGCUGAAGAAACAUCAGAUGAGAGUGAAGCUGGAGCAGAUUUACUUUCAGUUUCAUCAAGUAACAACGUUCUAUUGGAAUCUUGGGUUUUAGAUUCAGCAUGCUCUUAUCAUAUGACUCCAAAGAAAGAUUGGUUUGACAUGUAUAAGCCUUACAAUGGUGGUAUGGUCCAAAUGGAUAAUGAUGCUACAUGCCCGGUUAUUGGGAUUGGUACCGUGAAGAUCAAGAUGUUUGAUGGAGUUGUGAGAGUUCUUAGUAAUGUCAGACAUGUUCCAGAUCUUAGAAAGAAUUUGAUUUCUUUAGGAGUAUUGGAUGAUUUGGGCUAUUCAUACUCAUCAAAGGGUGGAAUCAUGAAGAUUACCAAAGGUGCUUUGAUGGUGAUGAAAGGACAGAAAGUAAGCACGCUUUACAGAUUGAUUGGGAACACAGUUGUAGGAAGAGUUGCAGUCACCACUCCGAUAGAGUCCAGCACUGACGACACAAAAUUAUGGCAUAUGCGACUUGGCCAUAUUGGUGAACGUGGUAUGUUAGAGCUGCACAAGAGAAAUUUAUUGAAAGGGGUGAAGACAUGCAAGCUAGACUUCUGCAAGUAUUGUGUGUAUGGGAAGCAGCAUAGAGUCAGUUUCAAGACAGGCUCUCAUACAAGUAAGGGUGUUCUUGACUAUAUUCAUUCAGAUGUUUGGGGUCCAGUUUCAGUUUCUUCUCAUAGCGGUGCUCAGUAUUUUGUCAGUUUCAUUGAUGACUACUCUAGAAAGGUAUGGAUUUAUUUUAUGAAGCAUAAGUCUGAUGUGUUUGGCAUAUUUAAAAAGUGGAAAGCACAGGUUGAGAAUCAGACUGGCAGGAAAAUAAAAUACCUUAGAACAGAUAAUGGACUAGAGUAUAGAGAUAAAGAAUUCAUAAAAUUUUGUGAAUUAGAAGGCAUUACUCGUCACUUCACAGUUAAAGGAACUCCACAGCAGAAUGGGGUUGCAGAGAGAAUGAACAGAACCUUAGCAGAAAGAGCCAGAUGCAUGAGAUUAAAUGCAGGGUUGCCUAAGGUGUUCUGGGCAGAGACAGUUAACACAGCAAGCUUCAUUAUUAAUAGAUCUCCAUCAUCAGCCAUAGAUUUCAAGAUUCCAGAAGAGGUUUGGUCAGGUAGACCAGUUGAUUAUUCGAGUCUAAAAAUCUUUGGUUGUCCAGCUUAUGUGCAUGUGCAGAGUGGAGAGCGUUCUAAAUUGGAUUCGAAGUCAAGAAAAUGUGUAUUUCUUGGUUUUGAAAAAGGUGUUAAAGGCUAUAGGCUUUGGGAUCCAAUCUCAAAGAAAACGGUGACCAGCAGAGAUGUCAUAUUUGAUGAAGCCUUUAUGUUGAAACAGAAUGAAGCAGAGACAUGUGAUGAUAGUCCACAGGAGAAAUUAACUGUUGAGGUGGAGUUUGACGAGAAUAGUUCAUCCAGUGAUAAGGGUGAUGCUGAGAUUGAUCCACAGCAGCAACAAGAAGAGUCUUAUUCAAUCGCUAAAGGUAGAGAGAAGCGGGUUCACAAAGCACCACAGAGAUAUGGCUUUGAAGAUAUGGUUAGCUUUGCUCUCAUAACUAGCAGUGGAGAUCCAUUGUCUUACGAGGAUGUAGAAGAGAUGGGGUCACUACAGAAGAAUAAGAUUUGGGAAUCAUCUAGUAUGUUGAUAAAGCCAAUUCCAACAGACAAGUUCAAGAGCUACUUGGACUUGGUUGGUGUUUGCAGCUUGUAAGCCCUUAAGGGCUAAGGUGGAGGCGAUGGAGGAGUUUGCUCGUGUAGCUUGAUCAAUUCAAGCCAAGGUGGAGAUUUGUUGAAGUGGGCCGUGUGUGUGGCUUGAAUUGCCACAAGCCCAAGUCAAGUAGUAUUAGGAAACCAAAUUUAACUAGGAAUUUAAUUCCUAGUACAGCCAACCUAUAAUAUAUGUAUAUAUAUAUAUAUAUAGAUAUAUUAAGGGUGUUGAGGGGAAGAGAGAAUUAGAGAAUUCCAAUUAACCUAGUGAGCAGCCGCAUGAAAGAAAAUAGAGAAAAGAGAGGCAGCCAGCUUCUAUUCUUAUUGUUUCUGUGAGAGAGUGCUAGGGUGUAAUUGGGAUUUGGGUUUCUUGAGAGUGUUAUUGUGCACUAUUGUAUCUCCCUAUUUUUUAUAGUGAAAUUUCUCCGUCGUCUCCGUGGAGGUAGGCAGUUUGCCGAACCACGUAAAUUCUUGUGUUCUUUGUGUGUGCUUGUUAUUUUAUUUCCGCUUAUUUACUGUUAUUGAUUGGAGUCCUGGGGUGCUAUCUUCACAACACAUGGGAUUCGGAUGUCCUGAGAGAAAAGCCAUUGCCGAAUACCUACAGGAAGUAAGUUUUCAAACUGAUCCUUAUCCCUUUCGAAUGUGAAAAAAUAACAAUUGUAUCGAAUCCAUUCAUUGUGACAGUUUUCCAAGUCUCAAACUUGUCACUUGGAUUGCAAUCUUUUGUACACACGGUAGGCAAGGGCAGAGCCAGGAAUUUUUGUUUGGGGGGCCAAGUUGCAACGUUAAUAUAUUUAUCAAGACAACUUUCACACCCACACACACACAUAUAUACACACACGCGUGCUUUUUAUUAUAUAUACACACAUAUAUAUACACACUUUUUUAUUUGAUAAGUUAUAUAUAUACACACACCCAACAAAAAAAAAAAAAAAAGAUUUUAGUAUUUUCAAUCAAAAUUAUUUUUGACGGCGAUCUUUCAUAAAAAAUUCAUUUUUUCCAUUUUCAUAGUCAAAAUCUUAAAAAGUUUCAUUUUAAACACAAAUUAUCAAAUUUUAUGCUAAAGUAAGUAAAAAAUCUUUUAAUUGAACUAAUGAAAUUUUCAAAAACAUGAAUAAUCCAAAACUUGGAGAAAUAAGUUAGGUUCCAAACAUAUUUAAAGCUACCUUACUUUAACACAUUAUAUGGCAACUAAAGACACAUUUCAUGUGUAGUUUUAGUGACAAAAAUUUUUUAAUGAGUCAAUGACUUGUUAAUCGUCACAUAACGGGUUGAAAAAUAUAGAUUUAAACAUGUUUGAUACCAAAUUAUAUCAAAUAUUUAACAAAUAUAAAAGCACGUUUUACAAUAAAAAAUAGAAUUGCGAAAAAUAAAGUUAUAUCUUUGUAACUAUUAAACCAAUUAUUUUUUUUAAGAGCAUUAUUGGACUAAUUCAAAUAUUUUGGGAGGUGGGGCCAACUCUUAUUUUUUAGACUAAAUUUUGAAAACAUAAAAAUAAUUAUAUAUAUAUUUUAAAAAAUUUUAAAAUUUUGGGGGGGCCACCGCUGUACGUGCCUCCGCCCCGUCGGUAGGUGACAUCAAGGAAGGAUCAGAGACAGUAUUGGGUGAAUGAAGAACAGCCUUAUCACUAUGUUUCUGUCAAUAAAUUUGCAGAGGCCUUCAAAUCAUUUCAUGUAGGAAGAUCCAUCCAACGUGAGCCUGCGACCCCAUUCAAAAGGUCGAAGAGCCAUCCUGCAGCUUUGACAAGAUUCAAAUAUGGUGCCAACAUGAAAGAAUUGAUGAAAGCUUGUUUCUCAAAAGAAGUUAUUCUGAUGAAGAGGAGCGUAUCUAUGUACCUAUUCAGAGCAAUUCAAGUGAGUAAUAUUCAUGUUUAAUGCCCUUCAACAGUAACUUAGACUUCAGACACAAUGACUUUUAAUCUUCAUUUUCAGCUCGAAAUUAUUGCAAUCAUCGAUCGUGGCAACUGUCUUUGCGCAAGCCAAGAAGCAUCAUGAUACACUAGAAGAUGGAAUAGUCUAUCUCGGUGCUCUUUAUUUUGGGCUAUCUUCAAUAAUGUUUGCUGCACAAUUCGAACUUCCUCAAACCAUUGAUAAACUUCCUGUGUUCGAAAAGCAAAGAGACCUCCUCUUCUAUCCUUCAUGGGCAUUUUCAUUGCCAGUAGCCAUUCUUGGAAUUCCUUUGUCUUUAAUCGACGUUGUCUUAUGGGUUGCCCCGACUUAUUUUCUAAUAGGAUUUGAUCCUAGUGGCAUUAGGUCAGUACAAAAAAUACCAAUUAUCCUCACUAAACACCAAUUUUCCUUUCAUGGAUUAUGUAUAGUAACCCUUCUACAUUUCUUUUGCUUCAGGUGGCUUAGACAUUUUCUCCUUCUUGCAGCGCAUGCACAGAUGUCAUAUGCACUUUUCAGAUGCAUGGGUGCACUUUCUAGGGACCAUGUUAUUGCAAACACAGCAGGAAGCCUUGCAAUCAUAUGCCUUCUAGUGCUAAGUGGAUUCACUAUAUCACGAAGUAUUAAUACUUUAAUAUGCCAUUCUGACAUUUUCCUAAAGAACUUUAAAGUAUUCACUUUAACUUAUGCAAAAUUUUCUAUAUAUUUUAAUAUAAAAACCUACUUUUUUUUUUCCUUUUUGUUUUACAUAUUCAUUUUUCAAACACCGCACAUUAGAUUAUCUAUUUUACACUACAUUUUAUUAAAAUAUUAAUUUUCUUGAUUUUUUUAAUUCCUUCUCUUUCUUCACUUGCAACAAACACCAUACACUCUUUUCUUUUAUCUUUGAGAUACGUAAAAAAAUGAAUAAACAACUAAAUGCAAAGUGAAUAGUAUCAGUAUAAAUUUACACGAAUACUGUAACAAAUUUGUAAAUUUACACAAUUAUAUACGGAGUGAUGUGGGUUAUUUUUAAGUAAAAUUGUGUAAAUUUUACACAUUUUUCUAUUAUAUAUGAACUAAUGUGAAUGCUCUUAGCACAAUUGUAUAGAAAGAUGGCAUAAUGUUGUUCUCUCUUUGUUUCAUUUAGAUUACGCACAAAAUUGGUUGAUUUGGGGUUUCUGGUUAUCUCCCUUGAUGUACACACAAAAUGCACUUUCAGCAAAUGAAUUUCUCGGAAGGUCUUGGAAAAAUGUAAGAAUUCCUUCUUUUCUUGUAAGUAAGUUAAUGUUUUUUCUAGGACAAUUCUAGCGUGAUUUGUCUAAAGUUUGGUUGUGAAACCCAAAUGUAGGUUCGUAAUGGAACAGAGGAAGCUCUUGGAAUAUCAGUCUUGAAAGCAAGAGGGCUGUUUACCAGUCCGCAAUGGCCUUGGAUUGGUCUUUUUGCAUUGAUUGGUUACAUAUUCUUAUUGAAUGGAAUUUGCACAUUAGCUCUUGCUUACCUUAAUGGUAAGCACUCUUAUUUUAACACCCUAUUAUUUCCACUUUUUGAUAUUGCUAUCCCAUUUAAACCGUUUUGACUCUUCACAGAAUAUGGAAAGGUUCAAGGGGUUUCUCAGUCAAAAAAUACUUCAGAGGAGAAGCACACUAACAGAAUAAGUGAGACUGAGGUGUCCAAGGCACAAGAAAGUGGAACAAGCUCCAGCAAAAUUAGAGGUAAGGCCAUUAAACUUAGAAAUGCUGAGCAAUAUAUAAAUAAAAUACUUUCCAAGUUUUGGGGACAUAGGUCUCAUGAUAUCAAGAAUAAUACAUGACCAUAAAAUUUUUACAUUCCUGUGAAUUUGACAGAUAUGCAUAUAACAAACCAAAUGUAGAAAUAUUAUAAUACCAAUAUUAUGAUUCCAAGAUACAGAAAUUUCAAGAAUACAACAUGUGAGAAAAUAUAACUCGGUGAAUCAAAUGGCCCCUUGGAGUUGAGAUUGUCCAAAUGAUGCUUAUAAAAUGUGAUCACUAAGACUAUGUAUGAAAUAACAGAAUGCCUCUCCCAUUCACACCUAUUUCUCUGACCUUUGAGGAUAUCAGAUAUUCAGUUACAAUGUGGUGCGGACACAAGAUACAAGCCCCCAAUUACACGCACAUUAAAGAGAAAGAAGAUGGUCUAACCUGUGGCCUUAUGGCUAGGGCCUAUUAAUCAUUGGGCUUGAGUCUCAGCAAGCCCAAAUAUUUAAUAAUUAGGGUUUCUUUAGGGUUUCUUUAUGUUAGCUAUUUAAACACUUUUUGGGGUUAUUGUAAGACAGUUUUGAUGAUUAUUAAAAAAAACGUGUGUUUUAUUUUACUGGUGCCGACUCCAGUUUGCUUGGUGCUGACUCCAAGCAACCCCUAGGUGCUGACUCCUAGGGUUUUACCUCUUAUUCUAUUGUUUUUGUGGUUGUCCUACGUCAGUUUUGGUAUCAGAGCAAACUUCCGAUCCAUUCAAUACAACCGUAGACAACCACGUGAAAGCCAAACCGUCAAAAGAGCAAACCAGCCAAGAAUGA